UUAAAUAUUUUUUUAUUAUAA
rnacentral:tRNA from 1 species